GAUGAACGCUGGCGGCGUGCCUAAUACAUGCAAGUCGAGCGAACGGACGAGAAGCUUGCUUCUCUGAUGUUAGCGGCGGACGGGUGAGUAACACGUGGAUAACCUACCUAUAAGACUGGGAUAACUUCGGGAAACCGGAGCUAAUACCGGAUAAUAUUUUGAACCGCAUGGUUCAAAAGUGAAAGACGGUCUUGCUGUCACUUAUAGAUGGAUCCGCGCUGCAUUAGCUAGUUGGUAAGGUAACGGCUUACCAAGGCAACGAUGCAUAGCCGACCUGAGAGGGUGAUCGGCCACACUGGAACUGAGACACGGUCCAGACUCCUACGGGAGGCAGCAGUAGGGAAUCUUCCGCAAUGGGCGAAAGCCUGACGGAGCAACGCCGCGUGAGUGAUGAAGGUCUUCGGAUCGUNAAACUCUGUUAUUAGGGAAGAACAUAUGUGUAAGUAACUGUGCACAUCUUGACGGUACCUAAUCAGAAAGCCACGGCUAACUACGUGCCAGCAGCCGCGGUAAUACGUAGGUGGCAAGCGUUAUCCGGAAUUAUUGGGCGUAAAGCGCGCGUAGGCGGUUUUUUAGUCUGAUGUGAAAGCCCACGGCUCAACCGUGGAGGGUCAUUGGAAACUGGAAAACUUGAGUGCAGAAGAGGAAAGUGGAAUUCCAUGUGUAGCGGUGAAAUGCGCAGAGAUAUGGAGGAACACCAGUGGCGAAGGCGACUUUCUGGUCUGUAACUGACGCUGAUGUGCGAAAGCGUGGGGAUCAAACAGGAUUAGAUACCCUGGUAGUCCACGCCGUAAACGAUGAGUGCUAAGUGUUAGGGGGUUUCCGCCCCUUAGUGCUGCAGCUAACGCAUUAAGCACUCCGCCUGGGGAGUACGACCGCAAGGUUGAAACUCAAAGGAAUUGACGGGGACCCGCACAAGCGGUGGAGCAUGUGGUUUAAUUCGAAGCAACGCGAAGAACCUUACCAAAUCUUGACAUCCUUUGACAACUCUAGAGAUAGAGCCUUCCCCUUCGGGGGACAAAGUGACAGGUGGUGCAUGGUUGUCGUCAGCUCGUGUCGUGAGAUGUUGGGUUAAGUCCCGCAACGAGCGCAACCCUUAAGCUUAGUUGCCAUCAUUAAGUUGGGCACUCUAAGUUGACUGCCGGUGACAAACCGGAGGAAGGUGGGGAUGACGUCAAAUCAUCAUGCCCCUUAUGAUUUGGGCUACACACGUGCUACAAUGGACAAUACAAAGGGCAGCGAAACCGCGAGGUCAAGCAAAUCCCAUAAAGUUGUUCUCAGUUCGGAUUGUAGUCUGCAACUCGACUACAUGAAGCUGGAAUCGCUAGUAAUCGUAGAUCAGCAUGCUACGGUGAAUACGUUCCCGGGUCU
rnacentral:rRNA from 1 species